GAUGGCAGAGCCCGGCUAAUGCAAAAGACCUAAGCCCUUUGUACAGGGGUU
rnacentral:tRNA from 1 species